rnacentral:rRNA from 1 species
AUGGGUUUCCGUGACAUCCACUGUUUCAACCUGGCUCUGCUUGCAAAACAAGCAUGGCGUCUCCUUGAUAAUCCUGACUCCUUGUGUGCUACUAUUCUAAGGGCCAAGUACUAUCCUAAUGGUGAUUUGCUGAACUCCAAGCCAAAGCAUGGUGCUUCCUUCACCUGGCAAAGCAUUAUGGCAGGCAUCACUACUCUUAAGCGAGGUUAUAUUUGGCGAGUGGGGGAUGGACAUAACAUCAAUAUUUGGGAAGAUGCCUGGAUCCCAAAUUGUGCCUCUAGGAAGAUUAUGACACCUAGGGGGGGGCAUUUGUUAUCAAAAGUCGUAGAUUUAAUUGACCCAGUCUCCAAUAAUUGGGAUGAGGACCUGAUUAGACAAACUAUGUGGACCGUUGACGUACAACGAAUUCUUUCAAUCGCAAUUUCGCAACAUAAUAUGACGGAUUUUAUUGCCUGGAGUUAUACGAAAAAUGGUAUGUUUUCGGUACGGUCUGCUUAUUUAGUGGAGUGGAACUAUCAAUAUGGGAGCAAGCUAAAAUAUUCCAAUGGGAUGGGACGGAGCACACCUAAUCCUAUAUGGUGUCAGAUAUGGAAGUUGUCUUGUCUGGCUAAAGUCAAUUUUUUUAUGGCGGACACUACAUGGCACUCUCCCAUGCCGGGCAACACUCACUAA